AGUUAGAUACCGAGAAUGCUUGAAGAAUCAUGCCGCAAGCAAAGGAGGGUUUGUUGUAGAUGGAUGUGGAGAAUUCAUGCCAACCGGUGAAGAGGGUACGGCAGAAGCCUUGAGAUGUGCAGCUUGUCAAUGCCAUAGGAAUUUUCAUAGAAAAGAGAUUGAUGGAGAACAUCAAAGUGCAGCAACUAAUAGUUACUACAAAGACAAUAACCAAAGAAAUACCAUACCUCAACAACAACUAGCCACUUCACAUCCUCCUAUCUCACAACCAUCAGUUCAUUAUCAUCAUAGAUACCCUCACGGGCUAACUUUAGGUGCCCCGACUACAACACCUGCACCGACGAUUGUAAU
rnacentral:lncRNA from 1 species